GAAAAAAGCAACAGGAGUCCAUCCCAUUCUCUUGAGACAACAGGUUCACUGAUCACAGAGAAAAUUUCUUUUCCCUCAGAGUUUAGGCACCUUCAGGUCUGUGCUGUCACCAAUAUCCUUACUGCUACUGCCAUGGAGCAGGGAUUCAAGAUAACCAAAGGAAGACAAAGAAAAUACAGAAUUAUCUACAAUAGCCAAGAAGUGGAAGCAACCCAAGUGUCCACCAAACGACAGAUGGAUAAAGAAAAUGAGGUAUAUACACACAAUGAAAUAUUAUUUGGCCUGCAAAAAGAAAGAACUCCUGCCAUUUGCAACAAUAUGGAUCAACCUGGAAGACAUAUUCACUUAUGUUAAGUGAAAUAAGCAGGCACAAGAAGACAAAUAUUGCACAAUUACACUAUAUGGGGAAAUCUAAAUAACUCAUAGAAGUAGAGAGUAGAAUAAUGACUACCAGAGGCUUGGGGAGAAAAAAAGGGAGAAAAAUGAGUUGUUGGUCAAAGCUUACAAAGUUUUAGUCAGACAGGAGAAAUAAAUUUUUAAAUCUAUUGCACAGCUGGGUGACUGUAGUCAAUAACAAUGUAUUAUUCAUCUCCAAAUAAGUAAGAUGGCAUAUUUCAAAAUAAACAAGAUGCUGAAUUUCAAACAUCUCAACACAAAGAGUUAAGUGAGAUGAUGAAUAUGUUAACUUCAUUUUAUCAUUCCACCUUGUACACAUAUUACAUGAAUGUAUACAGCUGUGAUUUGUCAAUUUUUUAAAAAUUUAAAAGAGAAAGAGUCAUGGAAUUAGAGUAAGAAAAACCAAAAGAAGAAGGAUAAAUCAAAGAGAGUGAAGAAAGAGGAAGAGAAAGAAGAGAAAACAGAGAAAGGGAGAAACAGAUUAAGGGAGAGAAAGUGAAUACAGCGAGGAAGAAAAUUUUACAUAUAUACAUACACUCAUAUACAUUAAUUUAUGCAUACUAGUUGGCUAUAUAUAUAUUUGUGCAUUCUUUUCUAUACGUAGAAGAUUGGAAGAUGAAGCUGAGAAAACAUCUCAGCAUGCACAAUUAAAAAAAAAAUGAAUGAAAAUAGAAGAAACUUAAGAUUAUGAGAGCAACCCAUGAAGUCCAACAUCUGAAAAAUGAGAGUUACAGAAGAAAAAAUGGACAAAAGAGACAUGGAGAUCAAAUUAUCAAAGCAAUUAUACAUUUUCCCAUAAUUGAAUGACAUGACUUUGCAGGUUAAAAGGCUCACCAACUGUCUGUUAUGAUAAUUAAAAUAUGACUCCACAACCAGUAAUGGAUUAAAUAUAUCCCUAAAUCUUCUAGUGAGAUAAAAGAGGUCAAAUACAAAGGAAAUAGGCUUUGAACUCCUUUACAGCAAGUUUGGAAAUAAGAAAACAAGGAAUGAAUGUUUGCAAAAUUUUAACAACUAAUCGUCUCCAACUUUGAAUUCUAUACACAGCCAUUGGACCAAACAAGGGGACAAAAUGGCAGCAGCCAGCCUGACCAUUCCCUUCCCAUCAUGAGGGAGAGGGCUGUGGUAUGGACAGCAGCAGCUGACUGGCCACAGGUGCAGCCACUGCCAUCCAGCCCCGACUCAUUCCUAGAAUAAGAACCACCAGACUGCCCUCUGACACCUGCCUCAGCGGUCCCCACCACUCCUCAAACCCUGUCACCGUCCACAGACAAGCCCUGGAGGGGUGGGGAAAAGGUUUCAUUGUGAGAAACCACUGGGGAUCCUGAAGUUAAAACUCAUCAAAGUGUGGGGAAAACUAAGACUGGCCUAGCAGGAUUUUUACUCUCAAGCUAAUCUACACUCAACCUCAAAGAAUUUAUUAAAAUUCACAUUUAACCAUCUUAUCAGUAUACAUCUUCAAGAGCUUUCGUUUCUGGUACAAAAGUUUCAGCUGCAGUUACUUGUAUUCAUCUGUCUCUUCAGAUUUCGAGGUGGUGGUCUGUCUUGUGAGCUCAAGUCUCUGGUGAUUCUAAUAAAUGUCAUUGAUUUUUUAAGUCUUCUCAGAUUUAUUUCUUGUUUUUAGGAUGGGAGUGGUGACUUCCAAGCUUUUUACAUGUGAAAGGUAAACCAAAGUCAACGUGAAUCUCCUCUUCAUGUCUACAACUGAGCAACAGGUUUUUCAAACCUUGUAGCUCAACCCCUACUAUCUGACAGUCUUUCAGACACAGCUAAGAGUCUAUAUAUCUUUCUGUUUCACAACCUCGCUCUGAUACUCUCUGUGUGUUUCAUCAUUCUAUCUUUUAGCAUGGUUAGGAUGAUCCUCACCUAGAAUGGAGAAACCUCCAGAGAUUUGAAUCUGAGAAAACUAAGUUUCCUUGAUUCUUCAGUGUUUUUUCUGACUACUCAAUAGCAG
rnacentral:lncRNA from 10 species